UACGUAGGGGGCAAGCGUUGUCCGGAAUCAUUGGGCGUAAAGCGCGUGUAGGCGGCCCGGAAAGUCUGAUGUGAAAACUUGGGGCUCAACCCUAAGCCUGCAUUGGAUACUGUCGGGCUUGAAUCUGGAAGAGGAGAGUGGAAUUCCUGGUGUAGCGGUGGAAUGCGCAGAUAUCAGGAGGAACACCAAUGGCGAAGGCAGCUCUCUGGUACAUGAUUGACGCUGAGACGCGAAAGCGUGGGUAGCAAACAGG
rnacentral:rRNA from 1 species